rnacentral:tRNA from 1 species
CAGUAGCUCAGUGGUAGAGCAAUCGGCUGUUAACCGAUCGGUCGUAGGUUCGAGUCCUACCUGUGGAGCCA